rnacentral:rRNA from 1 species
UACGUAGGCAGCGAGCGUUGUUCGGAGUUACUGGGCGUAAAGCGCGCGCAGGCGGUCUUCCAAGUCAGUGGUGAAAGCCCGGAGCUCAACUCCGGAACUGCCAUUGAAACUGUUGGACUUGAGUACGAGAGAGGUGAGUGGAAUUCCCAGUGUAGAGGUGAAAUUCGUAGAUAUUGGGAAGAACACCGGUGGCGAAGGCGGCUCACUGGCUCGUAACUGACGCUCAGGCGCGACAGCGUGGGGAUCAAACAGG